GUUCUUGUAGUUAAAUUAAAACGGUGGGUUUUCAAGUCAUUGAUCCUGGUUAGAACCCGGGCAGGAAUU
rnacentral:tRNA from 1 species